GAAGCCGGGCCAGCCUUGGGGACAGCCGGGACAGCCCUGGGGACACCCGUGCCACCCCUGGGGCCAGCCUUGGGGACAUUUUCCACUCCGGACUUUGCUCCUUGGGGUUUUCCCUAAUUCUGGAAUGUUCCAGUUGGGAUUUCCCAGAUUUUCACUCAGGUCACUCCAGCAGGACUUUGCUGUUUGGGGUUUUCCCUAAAUUGGGAAUGUUCCAGUUGGGAAUUCCUGAUAAAAGCCAGGUUUAAUUCCCAACAAAAGCCAGGUUUAAUUCCCAACAAAAGCCAGGUUUAAUUCCCGAUAAAAGCCAGGUUUAAUUCCCGAUAAAAGCCAGGUUUAAUUCCCGAUAAAAGCCAGGUUUGCUGCCAGGCUCUGGCCGUGGGCCAGGCUUUGGGAACAGAGGCGUUCCCAGCAUUCCCAGCAGUUCUGGGGUUUCCCAGAACCCCAAAAUCGCCCCUCAGAGGGGUCCCGGGGCAGCAGCUCCCGACAAACGCAGCGGAAUUUCCGCCGGGAAUUUCCUUCUCUGCGGCUUUCUGAUUUUGAAAUAAAAAAAAUAAAUAAAAAUUGUUUUAGAAAUAAAA